UUACUAUUUCGAUAAGUUCGAAAUAACACCCUUUUAGGCCAAGGGCCUUCGCCAAAAAGAGAAGAGUUUGACGUCGAUCAAACGAUGACGAUUUACUAUUUCGAUAAGUUCGAAAAAACACCCUUUAAGGCCAAGGGCCUUCGUCAAAAAGAGAAGAGUUCGACCUCGAUCGAACGACGAUAGGUUUCUAUUUCGAUAAGUUCGAAAUAACACACUUAAAGGCCAAGGGCCUUCUCCGAAAAGAGAAGAGUUCGACCCCGAUUGAAUGACGACGGGUUACUAUUUUGAUAAAGUUCGAAAUAACACCCUUUAAGGCCAAGGGACUUCGCCAAAAAUAGAAAAGUUCGACCUCGAUCGAACGAUGACGGGUUACUAUUUCGAAAAGUUUGAAAUAACACCCUUUUAGGCCAAGGGCCUUCACCAAAAAGAGAAGAGUUUGACCUCGAUCAAAUGACGACGAGUUACUAUUUCGAUAAGUUCAAAAUAACACCCUUUAAGGCCAAGGCCCUUUGCCAAAAAGAGAAGAGUUCGACCUCGAUCGAACGACGAUGGUUUACUAUUUCGAUAAGUUCGAAAUAACACCCUUUAAGGCCAAGGGCCUUCGCCAAAAAGAGAAGAGUUCAACAUCGAUAUAACGACGACAGGUUACUAUUUUGAUAAAGUUCGAAAUAACACCCUUUAAUGCCUGGGGCCUACGCAAAAAAGAGAAGAGUUCGACCUCGAUCGAACGAUAACGGGGGACUAUUUUGAUAAGUUCGAAAUAACACACUUUUAAGGCCAAGGGCCUUCGUCAAAAAGAGAAGAGUUCGACAUCGAUCGAACGACGAUAGGUUACUAUUUCGAUAAGUUCGAAAUAACACACUUAAAGGCCAAGGGCCUUCUCCGAAAAGAGAAGAGUUCGACCUCGAUUGAACGACGAUGGGUUACUAUUUUGAUAAAGUUCAAAAUAACACCCUUUAAGGCCAAGGGACUUCGCCAAAAAUAGAAAAGUUCGACCUCGAUCGAAAGAUGACGGGCUACUAUUUCGAUAAGUUCGA
rnacentral:lncRNA from 1 species